rnacentral:rRNA from 1 species
UUGACGGGGCCCGCACAAGCGGAGGAACAUGUGGUUUAAUUCGAUGAUACGCGAGGAACCUUACCCGGGCUUAAAUGUAGAGUGCAUUUUUUAGAGAUAGAAAUUCCCUUCGGGGCUUUCUGCAAGGUGCUGCAUGGUUGUCGUCAGCUCGUGCCGUGAGGUGUCGGGUUAAGUCCCAUAACGAGCGCAACCCUUAUCGUUAGUUGCCAGCUGGUAAAGCAGGGGACUCUAGCGAAACUGCCACCGUAAGGUGAGAGGAAGGUGGGAUGACGUCAAAUCAGCACGGCCCUUAUGUCCAGGGCUACACACGUGUUACAAUGGCCGGCACAGAGGGCAGCUACCUGGUGACAGGAUGCUAAUCUCGAAAACCGGUCUCAGUUCGGAUCGAAGUCUGCAACUCGACUUCGUGAAGCUGGAUUCGCUAGUAAUCGCGCAUCAGCCAUGGCGCGGUGAAUACGUUCCCGGGCCUU